rnacentral:rRNA from 1 species
UACAGAGGUCUCAAGCGUUGUUCGGAUUCAUUGGGCGUAAAGGGUGUGUAGGUGGCGCCGUAAGUCGGGUGUAAAAUUUCGGAGCUUAACUCCGAAACUGCAUUCGAUACUGCGGUGCUUGAGGACUGGAGAGGAGACUGGAAUUCAUGGUGUAGCAGUGAAAUGCGUAGAGAUCAUGAGGAAGACCAGUGGCGAAGGCGGGUCUCUGGACAGUUCCUGACACUGAGACACGAAGGCCAGGGGAGCAAACGGG